UACAGAGGUGGCAAGCGUUGUUCGGAAUUACUGGGCGUAAAGGGCGCGUAGGCGGCCUUCUAAGUCAGACGUGAAAUCCCCCGGCUUAACCUGGGAACUGCGUCUGAUACUGGGAGGCUUGAGUAUGGGAGAGGGAUGUAGAAUUCCAGGUGUAGCGGUGAAAUGCGUAGAUAUCUGGAGGAAUACCGGUGGCGAAGGCGGCAUCCUGGACCGACAUUGACGCUGAUGAGCGAAAGCUAGGGGAGCAAACGGG
rnacentral:rRNA from 1 species